rnacentral:rRNA from 1 species
UGUUGCAGUUAAAAAGCUCGUAGUUGGAUUUUCUGCGGGGGCGGGGCGGCCGGUUGCUUAUAGCAACUCGAGCUAGCACUUCCCCUGCAUCCUGCCGCGAACCGUGCUACCAUUAGUUUGGUGGCGCCGGGGAUCGGCUCGUUUACUUUGAGAAAAAUAGAGUGUUCAAAGCAGGCCACACGCCUUGAAUAAGUUAGCAUGGAAUAAUGAUAAAGGACUUCGGUUCUAUUUUGUUGGUGUUCGGGACUGAAGUAAUGAUUGAUAGGGACAGUUGGGGCGGUCCGUAUUCCAAAGCGAGAGGUGAAAUUCUUAGACCUUCGGAAGACGAACAGCUGCGAAAGCGUUCCGCAAGGAUGUUCCCUUUGAUCAAGAACGAAAGUUGGGGGAUCGAAGACGAUCAGAUACCGUCGUAGUCUCAACUAUAAACUAUACCAGCUAGGGAUCGGCCAACGUUUAAUUACACCGACUUGGUCGGCACCUU